UUCCAUUUCUCCUCCUUCCCCUUCUUCCCUAAAAUAAAGUCAAAAAUGUUGCUUCCACAGCACCCCAACAUUCGAGGACCACAGCCCUUCAGUCCCGGCAGCUGUACCUUCCUCCUGGACUCUCCGCAACCUGAGGGAAGCCAUCCAGAAGCCAUCUUGACUCCACCCCAACCUCUGCCAACCCAACGACCCGGGACUCAGGAGGGCAACCAUCCUGAAGCCCUCCGGACUCCACCUCUGAGCCAUCCAAUGGUUUGUCCUCGCUGCCCAAGUUGGAAGUGCCCGCUUCACCCGCAGCUCCAGGAGAUGAGGAGAAGAAGCCCCGGAGCAGGCAGGAGAAGCCUUUAAUGUCCUGACCCCCAGCCCCGCGCCAACGGAACCGGAGCCAAAACCCAGCCGGCCAGGAAGAUCAGGGUGGCAGCAGUGAGGAGCCAAACGAUUUGGGGGGCUGCUACUCGGGGCUGGAUCUUGCCUGUCUGUGGUAGGCGCUGGUAGGAGCAGAGGGUUUUUGUUCCCCACAUCCAGCAAGGAGAGAUUCAGUGCUUCCAGAUCCAGGGGACAAAGAUGAAGUGAAGGUGCGGCCGGCGGACCAAGAUGGAGAAUUCAA